GUCGAGGGGUAACAGUAUGUAGCAAUACAUAGCUGACGACCGGCGCACGGGUGUGUAACGCGUAUGCAACCUGUCCGUUACAGGGGGAUAGCCCAUGGAAACGUGGAUUAACACUCCAUAAUAUAAUAUAGAGGCAUCUUUGUAUUAUUAAAUAUUCAUAGGUAACGGUUGGGCAUGCGUCCUAUUAGAUAGUUGGGGGGGUAACGGCCCACCAAGUCGAUGAUAGGUAGGGGUUCUGAGAGGAAGGUCCCCCACACUGGUACUGAGACACGGACCAGACUCCUACGGGAGGCAGCAGUGAGGAAUAUUGGUCAAUGGGCGGGAGCCUGAACCAGCCAAGUCGCGUGAGGGAUGACUGCCCUAUGGGUUGUAAACCUCUUUUGUAUGGGGGGAAUAAGCUUUACGAGUAGAGUGAUGACAGUACCAUACGAAUAAGCAUCGGCUAACUCCGUGCCAGCAGCCGCGGUAAUACGGAGGAUGCGAGCGUUAUCCGGAUUUAUUGGGUUUAAAGGGUGCGUAGGCGGCAUUAUAAGUUAGUGGUAAAAUAUUGGGGCUUCACCUCACUACGCCAUUAAUACUGUAGAGCUAGAGAACAGACGAGGUAGGCGGAAUAAGUUUAAGUAGCGGUGAAAUGCAUAGAUAUAACUUAGAACACCGAUAGCGAAGGCAGCUUACCAGACUGAGUCUGACGCUGAUGCACGAGAGCAUGGGUAGCGAACAGGAUUAGAUACCCUGGUAGUCCAUGCCGUAAA
rnacentral:rRNA from 1 species